rnacentral:lncRNA from 1 species
AGGGGUUUGGAGUGGGAUUAAGCUUUAUAGGUCUGGAAGGAAUGAUAGCUGAGUACAUCUUGUGCUUCAAGUUUUCGGCUAUAAAUAAUUAGGCUGAAUAUGAGGCUUUGGCUGCAGGACUCCAGAAAGCCAGAGAACUGAGAAUACUGAACUUAAAGGCUUGCAGUGACUCUCAGUUGAUCGUCUUACACAUUCAAGACAAU